GACAAAAGAUUCACCGUAAUUAAAUAAAAUUAUUCAUCGACGAAUAAUUUUAAUUGGGUCUCUAAAAGAUAUUUUUGGCAUUUAACUCACAAAAUGCCAUAAAAUUGGCUAAAAAGCCUCAGAAAAUCAGCACAAAAUUCCUCAAAAUACAUAAAUUAGAAUUUAAAAUUAAGGGUCUUACAGAAAUCAACUAGUCGUGUCCUCAACUUUUGUCGAAUGAAAUCCCACAUAUUGUAUCGCAAACAACUUUGUUUGAUAAGAAAGUAUUCCAAAUAGAAUUUAUCUUAUUUCAGAUGUUUGGACAACAUCUACUAGUGAGAGUUAUAUUUGUUUAACCGUUUGUUAUGUUGAUGAACAUUGGAAGUCAACUAGUCGUGUCCUCAACUUUUGUCGAAUGAAAUCCCACAUAUUGUAUCGAAAC
rnacentral:lncRNA from 1 species